AAGUCGUAACAAGGUUUCCGUAGGUGAACCUGCGGAAGGAUCAUUAACACGUUUCCAAUAUAAACGUCCCAAACCAAAACUCUGUGAACUAGAGGUCUGCUAAAGUAUUCUUUCCACUCACUGUGGGGAAAAAAUAGCUAGAUUUUUCGAAAUCUAAAAGAUCUCGCAUUUUUAUUUACCAAUCUUUAACCCCAUAAACAAAGAUCAUACAAACCCUCGGGUUUGUAUCUUUUUUGUCUUAAAUAUCUUAUUUUUAAAGAAUUAGGAGAAAUCCUAAUCCUUUUCUAAGGAUUUCAGACAUUUUUUUGUUUGAUUUUCCUUAUGAACCAAAACGUUGAACAACUCUUAGCAACGGAUAUCUUGGUUCCC
rnacentral:misc_RNA from 1 species